GCCCGCCUAGCUCAAUCGGCCAGAGCGUCAGACUUUUAAGGCGGGUCUCACCUUCCAGGCAAAUCUGAAGGCUGCGAGUUCGACCCUCGCGGUGGGCU